AACCUUCGGGGGCCGAAACUAGGGAACUUUAGGCGGCCGAACUUAACCUUAGGGGGCCGAACAUGGCAAAAUGCCUCCUUGGCCAUAUCUCUUCAAAACUCAAUCCUUUUCUACGCUAAACCUUUAAAACACUUGAAAAUAUUUUAGAAAACUUUCUCUUACCCUUCCAGAGACCUCUGACAUCCUCGAACUCCCCCGGACGGUAGGAAUUCCGAUGUCUGAAUCUAGCCGGGUAUUACA
rnacentral:lncRNA from 1 species